rnacentral:sRNA from 1 species
GCCAAAAUGAACUCCAUCGUCUCAAUCCUAGCACUAAUUCUCAUUGGAGCUCUAAACGGUUCUCCAGUGAUUCAUGAGCUGCAGAUGUCUUCGAUGGUCAAGAGAUUUGAUGGACCGUUGCAUGGCAUGGGCUUGGACAGGAAACAAGGCAGUCGCCGCCUCGCUUUAAUGCCACUAAGCAAAAAUCUGACAGAAGAAGAACGUAUUGAGUAUUCCGAAAUCUGUGUGGGGAUUGGCAUCGUGUGCCACCUGGCCGAGCAAUGUUGCACAAAGAUGUGCCUAAAAUCUGCGAAGCGGUGCACUUAUGUACAUAAUGAUUCUAAAAAUUAGGUUUCCAUAAAGAAAAUACUAAUGUCAUGAUUAACGCAUAAGAAACCUUAUGGUCUUGCUUUGGGUGGGGUAUUGACAGCCACAAGUGUGCAUCUACAGUCACUUUCAAUUUAAUGGAAAUAAGGUGCCAGAGUCCCAGCAUUAGUCACCGCUAAUUCGCGAACUAGCUGCCUCUUUUUAUUAAUGCCGCAAGUGUUUUUCGCAAAAUAUAUGUACAGAUGGAAAUCAAUGUGCUUUAAAAAACGAUUAUUGUUUCUAGUCUUGUCUUGUAAGGACACAGAAUGGUUUAUAAAGAGUUGCACGUCUGGGCCUGGCACUCAUUCAACAUGAAUUCUAUCGUCUUUCUCUUGGUACUGGGUCUUGGCCUGGGAUUGGGUGUAAUUCUUAAUGAAACCACGAGCACUUUUCGUGUUCCCAGCAGAAGAAUCAGUGCCACUACGACUCCCAUACACAUGGACACCACACGCGCUCUCAACAGCACGCCUCCCACUCGCAAAUUGCGUGUCCUUAACGCUGAAUCCAGGCGCAAGAAGUUGCACAGGGUUAAGGCGUGGUUUUAUCAUCAUAUUAUGCCACUAUCCACAAAUCUUACCCAGAUGGAGCGCCUUGAAUAUUUUGAAAAGUGUCAUUCGGAGGGUCAGCCUUGCAGUGCAGCCGAGCAUUGUUGCAACAAAAAAUGUAUGACUGGGACUAACAUGUGCACCUCCUUUAAAUUGACUCCUAGAUAUUUAAUGGGUUCGAAUUAAAUCAAUAAUUUAAUGACAAAAACCUGCCGGCCUGUGCUGAAGUUAAGGUCCAGUGUCCAACCAUUGUGGACCAUACUUAGUCACCGCCUACUAGCGCGCUAGUUCUUAUAAUAUAAUUCAAGACGCACAUGUUUUUCGCUUUUUACAGAUAGAAAGCCAUGUGAUUUAUAAACACCAUUAUUGAUUCGAGUCUUGUUUUGUAAGGGCCCAGAUGGGUUUAUAAAGAGACGAACGACUGGGGAUUUCUAUCAGUCAAACAUUCAACAUGAAUUACAUCGUAACAACCGCGGUACUGGCACUGGCCCUUGGACUGGGUCUAGUUCUUAUUGAAACCGCUAGCAGUUUUUCUCUUCUCAAUAGAACAAGAGUAGGUCUCUUUGGAAGGAGAUUCUACGUAACUUCCGUUCCCAAUACAACGAUCAGUACUACCACAACCACAGCUAAAAUUCGCAAUAGCACGAGCACGACGAUGACUACCGCUCUCCACGGCAGAAUUCCCAAACCCAUAAAGGGGUUCGGGCCGGGUUGGGACUUCGACCUUUUUCCAUUACUCACAAAUCUUACACAGAACGAUCGCCUUGAGUAUUUUAUAAAAUGCGUAUCGGAUGGAAAUCAUUGCAGCAUAGCCGAGCAUUGUUGCAACAAAAAAUGUCUAAUUCGCUCAAAGAAGUGCAUGCCGAGUUCAAUUGCGUAUCAAAUAGGUUUAGUGGGAUAAUUUUGUAUUAUAAUAAUUAUUAUUAUUAUAUAUGUCUAUAUAAAUUAAUAAUUAAUAUGCUUUUUUAAGUUAUAGCUAAAAACUAUAAACAUUUUUUACGCACAUCUAAA